UCAAAACGACUCUCGGCAACGGAUAUCUCGGCUCUCGCAUCGAUGAAGAACGUAGCGAAAUGCGAUACUUGGUGUGAAUUGCAGAAUCCCGUGAACCAUCGAGUCUUUGAACGCAAGUUGCGCCCGAAGCCUUCGGGCCGAGGGCACGCCUGCCUGGGCGUCACGCAUCGCGUCGCCCC
rnacentral:rRNA from 1 species